rnacentral:rRNA from 1 species
AUUGAACGCUGGCGGCAGGCCUAACACAUGCAAGUCGAACGAGUGGCGGACGGGUUAGUAAUGUCUGGGAAACUGCCUGAUGGAGGGGGAUAACUACUGGAAACGGUAGCUAAUACCGCAUACCAUCAGAUGUGCCCAGCUGGGCAUAGCUUGUUGGUGGGGUAACGGCUCACCAAGGCGACGAUCCCUAGCUGGUCUGAGAGGAUGACCAGCCACACGGGAACGGAGACACGGUCAAAACUCCUACGGGAGGAGGCAGUGGGGAAUAUUGCACAAUGGGCGCAAGACUGAUGCAGCCAUGCCGCGUGUAUGAAGAAGGCCUUCGGGUUGUAAAGUACUUUAAGCGGGGAGGCGUUACCCGCAGAAGAAGCAACGGCUAACUCCGUGCCAGCAGCCGCGGUAAUUC